rnacentral:rRNA from 1 species
UACGGAGGGAGCUAGCGUUGUUCGGAUAUACUGGGCGUAAAGCGCACGUAGGCGGCGUCGUAAGUCAGGGGUGAAAUCCCGGAGCUCAACUCCGGAACUGCCCCUUGAAACUGCAAUGCUAGAAUCUUGGAGAGGCGAGUGGAAUUCCGAGUGUAGAGGUGAAAUUCGUAGAUAUUCGGAAGAACACCAGUGGCGAAGGCGGCGACCUGGACGGAUAUUGACGCUGAGGUGCGAAAGCGUGGGGAGCAAACAGG